rnacentral:rRNA from 1 species
GCAUAUCAAUAAGCGGAGGAAAAGAAACUAACAAGGAUUCCCCUAGUAACGGCGAGUGAAGCGGGAAGAGCUCAAAUUUGAAAUCUGGUGGCCUCAGGUCAUCCGAGUUGUAAUCUAUAGAAGUGUUUUCCGUGCUGGCUCAUGUACAAGUCCCUUGGAACAGGGCGUCAUAGAGGGUGAGAAUCCCGUCCCUGACAUGAACUACCAGUGCUCUGUGAUACAUUUUCAACGAGUCGAGUUGUUUGGGAAUGCAGCUCAAAAUGGGUGGUAAAUUCCAUCUAAAGCUAAAUAUUGGCGAGAGACCGAUAGCGAACAAGUACCGUGAGGGAAAGAUGAAAAGCACUUUGGAAAGAGAGUUAAACAGUAUGUGAAAUUGUUGAAAGGGAAACGAUUGAAGUCAGUCGUGCUCUUUGGAUUCAGCCGGUUCUGCCGGUGUACUUCCUUUGAGUGGGGUCAACAUCAGUUUUGAUCGCUGGAUAAAGGCUGGAGGAACGUAGUACCCUCCGGUAAACUUAUAGCCUCCUGUCACAUACAGUGGUUGGAACUGAGGAACGCAGCACGCCUUUAUGGGCGGGAUUCGUCCACGUACGUGCUUAGGAUGUUGACAUAAUGGCUUUAAACGACCCGUCUUGAAACACGGACC